rnacentral:ncRNA from 1 species
AAUGGAACAAUGUAGGCAAGGGAAGUCGGCAAAAUGGAUUCGUAACCUCGGGAAAAGGAUUGGCUCUAAGGUCUGGGCACGGGGGCCCUAGUCUCUAACCCAUCGGUUACCGGUGCACUGCUCGAGCUACUUUCACGGCGAGAGUGGGUUGCCGCAUGCCGAUCGAGGGACAGACUGGGAACGGCUCCCUUAGGGGCCUUCCCCGGGCGACGAACAGCAAACUCAGAACUGGUACAGAUAAGGGGAAUCCGACUGUUUAAUUAAAACAAAACAUUGUGAUGGUCCCUGCGGAUGCUCACGCAAUGUGAUUUCUGCCCAGUGCUUUUAAUGUCAAAGUGAAGAAAUUCAACCAAGCGCGGGUAAACAGUGGGAGUAACUAUGAGUCUCUUAAGGUAGCCAAAUGCCUCAUCAUCUAAUUAGUGACGCCCAUGAAUGGAUUAACGAGAUUCCCACUGUCCCUGUCUACUAUCCAAUGAAACCACUGCCAAGGGAACGGGCUUGGCAGAAUCAAUGGGGAAAGAAGACCCUGUUGAGCUUGACUCUAGUCCGACUUUGUGAAAUGACUUUUAAUGUUAUUUUACUUAUUUAGUGAAUCAAAGGCGGGGCCAGCCCCUCUUUUUGGACCCAAGGUUGUCUUCGGCUGGCCGAUCCAGGCAGAAGACAUUGUCAGGUGGGGAGUUUGGCUGGGGUGGCACAUCUGUUAAAAGAUAAUGCAGGUGUCCUAAGAUAAACUCAACGAGAAUAGAAAUCUCGUGUGGAACAAAAAGGAAAAAGCUUGUUUGAUUAUGAUUUCCAGUACGAGUACGAACCGUGAAAGCAUGGCCUAUCGAUCCUUUAAACCUUCAAAAUUUGAAGCUAGAGGUGUCAAAAAAUUUACCACAGGGAUAACUGGCUUUUGGCAGCCAAACGUUCAUAAAUCCUUCGAUGUUGGCUCUUCCUAUCAUUGUGAAGCAGAAUUCACCAAGUGUUGGAUUGUUCACCCACCAAUAGGGAACGUGAGUUGGGUUUAGACCCUCGUGAGACAGGUUAGUUUUCCCCUACUGAUGGCCGCGUCGCAAUAUUAAUUCAACCUAGUACGAGAGGAACCGUUAAUUCACACAAUUGGUCAUCGCGCUUGGUUGAAAAGCCAGUGGCGCGAAGCUACCGUGUGCUGGAUUAUGACUGAAUGCCUCUAAGUCAGAAUCAAGGCUAGAAGUGAUGCAAGCGCUCGUCGCCCGAUUGCCGACCCGCAGUAGGGGCCUUUGGCCCCUAAGGGCAUGUGUCGUAGGUGCAGCGACCCCCGCGGACAAGUCGCGGGCGCCUCCUUAGAGCGUAAUUCCCACCAAGCGGCGAGUAGAAUCCUUUGCAGACUACUUAAAUACGCGACAGGGUAUUGUAAGUGGCAGGGUGGCCUUACUGCCACGAUCCACUGAGAUUCAGCCCUUUGUCGCUUCGAUUC